GACGAACGCUGGCGGCGUGCUUAACACAUGCAAGUCGAACGGAAAGGCCCUGCUUUUGUGGGGUGCUCGAGUGGCGAACGGGUGAGUAACACGUGAGUAACCUGCCCUUGACUUUGGGAUAACUUCAGGAAACUGGGGCUACUACCGGAUAGGAGCUCCUGCUGCAUGGUGGGGGUUGGAAAGUUUCGGCGGUCGGGGAUGGACUCGCGGCUUAUCAGCUUGUUGGUGGGGUAGUGGCUUACCAAGGCUUUGACGGGUAGCCGGCCUGAGAGGGUGACCGGCCACAUUGGGACUGAGAUACGGCCCAGACUCCUACGGGAGGCAGCAGUGGGGAAUAUUGCACAAUGGGCGGAAGCCUGAUGCAGCAACGCCGCGUGCGGGAUGACGGCCUUCGGGUUGUAAACCGCUUUCGCCUGUGACGAAGCGUGAGUGACGGUAAUGGGUAAAGAAGCACCGGCUAACUACGUG
rnacentral:rRNA from 1 species